AGAAGACAACAGUAUGAGGGGAAAAAACGAACUUUUAGACUACAAAUAGUAACUUUAAAAAUUAUUUCCUUAAAAGAGUUUGGAAAAUUCAUACCCCUCUUCUGGGAGAAUCCUGAAAAGUUCUCAAGCCAGCCAAUAGAUUCUGGGUCUUCUCUGGGGUCUUCACCCAGAUGGACAAGCCCAUAACACAAGCCCAUAACACCUCCCCAUGAAAGCAUCUUAGAGACUUCCAAACUAGAUGCUUGAGCCACCCCAGCUGGCUUCUCUCGAUAUGGAGAAUCCAACAACCCUGCGGAGACAACUCAUCUUGGCUGUUUGUAUCCGGAGCCUCGUUCUUUUGGUGAUGACCCAGAGCUCAUGACCAUAGGUCAGUCACAGCAUGUGGAGCCUUCACCCAAUAUUUGUUUGUUCACCUUGUGCUGACUCACUGCAUGAACACUUGUCUGAAGCCUUAUCCAAUACUUGCAGAGUGAUGCUGGAAGCCAAUGGGGAAAAGAAUAAAUCUGCUGCCAUAAUGUUGGACUGUAUAUUGGACACAUCUAUGGAGGAAACUAUAGCUGCCUUUCAGGCCUUUUUAUUUUACUGUCAAAUCUUUGCAUAGCUUAACCCGCAGUGGUCUCUGAACUCAUCGGUGAGUUUACCAAUCCCUGUUUACAAUGACCUUGGAAUGACAUUGACUCGCCCAACUAGUAUUAUUAAGAUUCAAAAUAAGAAAAAUGCUUUAAAAUGUUUUAUUUUAAAGCAAACACAAGACUUAUGACACUUAACUGUGAUACCCCUUGGAACGUUUUAGGUAAUUUUAUUAGAGCUUUGCUUGUUUUUUUUUAGACAUUUUUCACCCAUUUUUACCUUUUCUUUGUUUUGUUUGUGAAUAUAUACACUUUUAUUUUGCCUCUAAAUUACAGUGGCUGACACGGCUCACCUAAAUGAGAAAGACACAAAACAACGACUAAAGCCACAACAUGACGAUAAAAGCCGCUGUGAUAGUAGCGGCGGCUGGGGGCUCUCUGUUUGCCGCGCUGCGAUCAUUGUCUCAUUUUCAUUAAUGAUCAAAGUUUCACUCAGCGUCAAUAGCUUCAAACUGAAUGAAAC